GGGGAUUUAGCUCAGUGGUAGAGCGCUUGCCUAGCAAGCGAAAGGCCCUGGGUUCGGUCCCCAGCCCCG
rnacentral:tRNA from 1 species